GAUAAUACUAGCGGAAAUACACAACUACGGCAGCCAUGUUUACAUCGACGUGUCAACGGUUGUAAAGCUGCUGCUAGUGUUUAGGCAAGUUCGUUUAUUCAAAUUGGCGAAAGGGCACAACCAUGGUAAAACUGAACUGUUUGCUGCUUUCUCUUCUGGCUUCUGCCUUGUAUUUUGAUUUCUCGGACUGUAGAGUGAGAAAGAAAGGUAGAAAAGAACGGCGUAGGCCUAAAGUACACCAAUCCAAAUAUGGCGAUUCUUAUAUUGGUAAAUUGGACAUGUACACUGGUAAAGAGAUUAUUAUUGAAGGAUCGAUGGAGUUAAACUCCGAUGGGUACGAUGUUGUGUUUAGCAGUGACUUAACAUGCAAAGAGAAAGGUCAACAGCCGCUUACAAUCUAUGUCAAACGAAAGCAGAAUAAAGUCUUAUGCAACACCAGACUUUCAGGCGUAUUACAGCGAUCCCCAGUAACGUGUUUCAGAACAAAUACCCAUUCCGCGUUUUUUCAAGCACUCAAACAGUUCACUUUGAAAAUCAUUUUUUAUACUAAUGAACGUAU